rnacentral:rRNA from 1 species
GCUUACAACCAAGUCGCCCUGAAUGCACCCAAUCUCUCGUCAUCUCCCAGAAGCUAAGCAACACUGAGGCUGGUUAGUGCUCGGAUGGAUUGGUGACUACCAGUGCAAACCAGGUGUUAUAGGCA